rnacentral:lncRNA from 1 species
CGAGAACCUUCUGAAUCGGGCAGGAGCCCUUGGAAGCGAAAGAGGAAGCGUCUUUCUGUUUACCUCCGUCUAGUGAUGUCAGCUUCCUUGCUUUGUGCAGAACCUGCAGAUACAGCAUCUACAGAGAAACACACGUAACAUAUGCGCAGCUUAGGGAGGUGUCCUAAGCGGAACCCCUUUAACGGCUGUCUGGGCCGAGACAGGAAACCGUGUG